UACACUCGUGUUUUACAGCGUAACAAUCAUUUGUAUGUUGCUGGAUUUCCAAAAAAUAGAGUGCAAGAAUCUUGUGCCAAACAAUUUAACUGCUCAGUUAGACCUUUCAGGCGUCUCCUAACUCCUCUGUGUUUCUCCCCCCCAUGCCUCUUGUCCUCAUGUGCCUCCUGCGCUGCGAGGUGAAAAUCGAAUGAGACUCAAUAAGCCCAGUGGGAAUCCUAUCAGAGAGGACGACAAUUGUUGGUCAGCUCGGCCUUGAAACAGCUACAAUAAAUCCUCACGAAGCUUUACAUAAAGUAAAAAGAAAGAAAAAAUCGACUGAAACUUCUCAAACCGGCACUCCAACCACUACAGGACUAAAAAGCAGGGAAAGAGAGGUCGUCCACAAACCGGAAGAUGGACACCCACUCACUGGGAGCAGCGGCCCGCCAACUUGCAGCUCCUGGGAGCGGUUGGGGCUAAGUGAGGGCACUUCAGCCAUGGACAUCGAGGGAGGUGAGGAGUCUGCUUCAUGGCUGUCUAUAGCAGCUGGCUUUUUCUACUUUAGAAUUAGCAGUGAUUGAGAAUCAGUGAGCCUCAUCUACGAUCAUUAAAUUACUACCAAAUCCAACCGGCAUGUGCAGAGCUAAGAGGAUGUGCCAACCUUCGUUUACAAGAUUGUAAAAGAAUAUUUUCCAGAGGUGUUUGAAGGCGAAGAAAAUUCACUCAACACAGAGCAAUGCAAUAUUUAAUGAAAGAGAUUUUUUGAUGGAGUCAAAUACAGGAUCAAAGCUUUGAGCUGGAACGAGAUACCUUCAUUGGGGCCAACAAGAAGAACAACAACAAUUCAAAUAGACACAGAAAAGGCAAUAACUUGUGGCAGGGAACUGAGAUCCGCAUGUGUAGAAAGCAGGGAGAACAGCCAACAUGUC